UCCACACCCAGAUAGUUGUUCCAAAGCCU
rnacentral:piRNA from 1 species